rnacentral:rRNA from 1 species
UACGAAGGGGACUAGCGUUGUUCGGAAUCACUGGGCGUAAAGCGCACGUAGGCGGCUUCGUAAGUCAGGGGUGAAAUCCCGGGGCUCAACCUCGGAACUGCCUUUGAUACUGCGGGUCUUGAGUCCGAUAGAGGUGGGUGGAAUUCCUAGUGUAGAGGUGAAAUUCGUAGAUAUUAGGAAGAACACCGGUGGCGAAGGCGGCCCACUGGAUCGGUACUGACGCUGAGGUGCGAAAGCGUGGGGAGCAAACAGG